CCCAGUGGUAUGUCAGCUGUCCAGUGCUGUGCAGUGCCUGUGCUGGUGUUAGACUGCUGGGAUAUGAAAAAUGCUGCCCUCUCUCCCUGGCUGUUAACUGUUACUGUUCUGGUAAUGGCUAAUCCCAGGCCUGGGCAGUGCUGUGCAUCCUUUGAGAGUGGGCCACCACUUACUGGUGUGGAUGGUCCUAGUUUGGUUGCAUACAUG